rnacentral:rRNA from 1 species
UACGUAGGGGGCAAGCGUUGUCCGGAAUCAUUGGGCGUAAAGAGCGUGUAGGCGGCUCGGUAAGUCCGCUCUGAAAGCCCGGGGCUCAACCCCGGGAGGCGGGCGGAUACUGUCGGGCUAGAGUCCGGUAGAGGAGUGUGGAAUUCCCGGUGUAGCGGUGAAAUGCGCAGAUAUCGGGAGGAACACCCGUAGCGAAGGCGGCACUCUGGGCCGGAACUGACGCUGAGGAGCGAAAGCGUGGGGAGCAAACAGG